rnacentral:rRNA from 1 species
CGCACGGGUGAGUAACACGUAUGCAACCUGCCUGCCACAGCCGGAUAAUCGGGAGAAAUUCCGUCUAAUACGGCAUAAUGCAUCGACGGGACAUCCUGUUGGUGCCAAAGGUUAAUUCCGGUGGCGGAUGGGCAUGCGUCGCAUUAGUUAGUUGGCGGUGUAACGGACCACCAAGACGACGAUGCGUAGGGGUUCUGAGAAGAAGGUCCCCCACACUGGUACUGAGACACGGACCAGACUCCUACGGAAGGCAGCAG